rnacentral:tRNA from 1 species
GGAAGGAUGGCUUUGUGUUUAUAGCACUGGAUUUGGGAUUCAGAAAGUCUGGGUUUCAUUUCUGGCUCUUCCA